CCGCCUCAGUUGAUGGAUGGGUGGGACGGCAAGGCCGUGGUGUACCCUCACCGCGCGCGAGAGCUGGUGCUGCGAUUAGCUCCUUGACAGUUCCACCCACACCUACGUGUGCUCUGCCUCGCCGCAUCCUGCCGCUCUACGCCGACAUCGACACCAACAAGGCGUGUGGCCUCGGCCUCGGCGACCGCAUCGGCAGUCGAGGCACCUCCCAUUGGUGUCGCGGUGGAGGGAGCGAACAACACAGCUGCUUGUGGGGUGGGGACAGUGAGGCAGCAGGACUCAAGGUCCAGGAUGAUGAACAACAACAGUGGUGGCGACGCAGGAGGCCCUGGUUCAGGCAUGGUCCGGGAGUGCCGGAUGUCCCAUUGGGGUCAAUAGUAAUUCACGAUAAUGCAGGGUGCUGUCAGCAAGAACAUGGAGAGCCUUGCCGUCUCAGCCUUCCAAUAUUUUAUGAAUUUGGUGAUUGGAUAAAGGAACAGUCUUUUCCUUUUGCAGAUUAAGUCAAAAGGGGUCACAAUUACAGCGCUGUUGGCUAAGGCGACAUCAACGGCUCUGCUUCAGCAUCCUAUGGUGAACUUGCAGCUGCAGGGAUGGAAAGAGCUUCACAUACAACAGUAGUAUCAACAUUGCUAUAGCAGUGGCCAUAGAUGGUGGGUUGAUUACAUCGGUUCUUCAAGAUGCUGGUAAGGUCAAACACUUUACCGUGCACAAUGAAUGUUGAUUUUUUAUGAUUUAUUUAAAUGAGUGGUUACUUGUUGGUUUAUGCGUCUUGACAUUUAUUCAUUGUCAAGGAAACGUAAGGAGUUAGUUGAUAAGGCGCGAGCAAAACAGUUGCAGCCCCAUGAGUACAACUCUGAUUUUUUUGCCUCAUACACAAAUAUGAAUAUGUAGCACAUCGUUGUAUAUCUUUUCUAAUGCUCUGAAUAAGAUGUGGUGGUACAGUGCAGAAUAAUAUGUUCUGUUUUUUUAUUCAACUAUUCAAAUCUUAUUUUUUAUUCAGCUAUUCAAAUCAUAUUUUUUUGAUUAGCUGAUUGCCGGAGAGAUUAAAAUCAAAGGGGUUGAGCUGCAGGAGAGUUGCAGUUUGUCGUUCUUUUCCAUGGUGGGCUAGGGGUUAUCUAGAGAUGACAAGGCCCUCAAGUUGGCUUUCCAGCACUGGAUCGAAGCGAUGAGUACAAACGGGCAGUGGGGAUUGGUGGGUUUUACUGCCCAUUCUUGCUCUUUUCAUGGUACAAUUAUCCUGUUUUUUUCC